CCGCGUUAGAUUAGAUAGUUGGUGGGGUAAUGGCCUACCAAGUCUACGAUCUUUAGCUGGUUUUAGAGGAUGAUCAGCAACACUGGGACUGAGACACGGCCCAGACUCCUACGGGAGGCAGCAGUGGGGAAUCUUAGACAAUGGGCGCAAGCCUGAUCUAGCCAUGCCGCGUGUGUGAUGAAGGCCUUAGGGUCGUAAAGCACUUUCGCCAGGGAUGAUAAUGACAGUACCUGGUAAAGAAACCCCGGCUAACUCCGUGCCAGCAGCCGCGGUAAUACGGAGGGGGUUAGCGUUGUUCGGAAUUACUGGGCGUAAAGCGCACGUAGGCGGAUCAGAAAGUUGGGGGUGAAAUCCCAGGGCUCAACCCUGGAACUGCCUCCAAAACUCCUGGUCUUGAGUUCGAGAGAGGUGAGUGGAAUUCCGAGUGUAGAGGUGAAAUUCGUAGAUAUUCGGAGGAACACCAGUGGCGAAGGCGGCUCACUGGCUCGAUACUGACGCUGAGGUGCGAAAGUGUGGGGAGCAAACAGGAUUAGAUACCCUGGUAGUCCACACCGUAAACGAUGAAUGCCAGUCGUCGGGCAGUAUACUGUUCGGUGACACACCUAACGGAUUAAGCAUUCCGCCUGGGGAGUACGGUCGCAAGAUUAAAACUC
rnacentral:rRNA from 1 species